AAAAGGAUCACAGAUGCUGCUCGGGGCCAGCCCUAUACUCCCUCCAGUGCCUGGUCUCCGGUGGACCCGCGGGGCUCUGCAGUUCUCUGGCGGCCGCGCCUUGUAAGCGCUAAGCCGGGAGGAGGGCGCAGGCAGGGCGCACAGCUCUGAGCGCGACCCUACCCGGCUCGGGCCCGCAGCAGCCCCGACUGUCCGAGAGCCUCUCCGCAAGCAAGGCUCUGCGCCGCCCUCUGAGCCCACCUCCUGGCCACAACGCUGCCUGCGCUUCUCCAGCCCAGGCCGGAAGCCCUAUGCUGCCUCCCGAAGCCGACUCAAGGACUGGGGACUUGGUGGAUCUAUGGCAUUGGUACCCACAGAGGUCACCUGCACAGAUAAAUCUGUCGCCACCCUUCAACCCUGGCCUACCGGAUCUGCGGGGAGAAAUGCAGCAUUUGAAUUGGGGAGUGUUCAGUCCUGCUCUGCGGGGCAUUUAUUUACAAAUAUCAGCUGCAACCCAGCCUUGAUAACGUCUCAUACAGUCAGAGGACUUUGCGGGAAGCACACUUCCUCCUUGUUUGGGGCUACAGGGAAAGCCCAGGAAAGCGAGUCCCAGAAGGCCUGGGACAGCUACACCCAGUUCACCCAUGCUCAACCCGGAACAGCCGACCCAAACGGUCAGGAAGGUUUGUCCUGGGGGCAACGCCUCUUCCGGGCUCUAGGACAUUGGAAGACAGAGAGAUUGCUGGGUAGCGGGUGGUCUGGGCCUCCCCGCAAGCUGCAAACGAAGGAGCUUGGAGCAGACCGCCAGGGAGGGCGCAGGGGAGCGCAGUACUCAGGCGGAGAGGCCCCGAAGCCCUUCAGGGACUCCGAUUACUUUCCUUUGAACAACAACAACAACAACAAAAACAACAACAACAACUGCUCCCUCCCCCUUAUAUCCCCUCCCUUUUUUAGCCUCCGGGCACCAGGCUUCCACGUAAUUGUCCUUCUGGACAGUAAACACAGCUCAGUUGCCUCAACUUUCCUGGUGCAUAAAAGUUCCCGGCGUGAGGGGAAAUUUGAAUAUUUGAUCAGCCCCUUUGAGUGACCCUCAUUAGCCUGGCGCCCUGCUAAGGCCCCACCAUUGCAAAAAAGCUGCUGGGCCCGGCAUUUGUACGCCUUGUUAGCGCUGCUUAAUGAAGCCGCCCCGACGGCUCAAAGGCGGCCUCUGGGGCCGGCAGCGCGCACCUCUCGGCACCCCGCUCUGCCUAAUGAGCCCCGCCGCCCGCUAAAGGCCCUUCCACCCCCCACAUCCUCAAACAAGAGGGGUUUGGCUCCGUCUAGGACCUGAACACCUCCCACCACCGGGCCCAGGAGGGUGGGCACAAACCCAGUCUAGCUGGCUACACGGUGAUCUAGCCCCUGGAGAAAGAAGCCAGCUACUUGGAGUAUGCAAGCUAAAAAUGGUUGUGUGAGUGGGAAAGUAGGGAAGUGGAUUUUACAGCCACUAGGUCUAGCUCACCCGUGGGUACCACGAACUUUCCCCCACAGGGCCAGCUGUAAAUCAAUUAACCAGCCCAGCUCCUUAAAGGUGCAUCUGGACUAGUGUUAGAACGUCAGAAGGGCUGGUACACAGGGGAGGGUCAGCUUUCCACUCCCCCCCCCUCAAAUUCCUUUGCUCUGGUCUCCCCAGGAGGCCUGGCACUUCUCCCCAGGUGGCCUCACACUUUCUGGAAGGUCAACCUUCCAGGCAACUAGAACUCUAGGCCUGUAUUUGAGAAAGGAUGGGCAGGUUCAGUUCACACCCCUCGGAGAAUGACUUCCAGUUUCACACAAUCCCAUCCCUGGUCUCUCUUCCAUUGCGUUUAUAGCCAUGGAGAGGUCUGAAGAAGUUAGCCCAGGAAAGACCACGCUCCUUAGGCAAGACUGGGACCCCAAAAAAACCUGGACGAGAGGGGGAAAAUCCUAGGAAAAGGGAGUGGAGACAGCCACCCACUAGGACAAGCAUCUACUCCUUCUCUCCUCUUCUUGGGCCAAGGAACACAGCUAACUAGUUAAUAUAAGAAACCAUUAGAAACUGCACUUCACUCCUCAGGAAGAGUUGACAUCUCUCACUGCCCUCUCGCCUCCAUUGUUCUUUCUCCUGGACAGUUGGAACUCAAGGUCCCCUUUCACUCCCUUCUUGAGUACCCCUAGCACUUGCUGGGUUGGUGGAGCAGGGAACUCUCGGUUCUCCACUCAGGACUUUCUGGAAGCCCAUCUUCGUAUGCUCACCAGCCCACCCUCCUACGCUGGUCAGAGUGAGAUUGCUAACCUCAAGACCCCAUUCAAUGCCAGCUUUCAACUACUGCUGAAGACCAAUGUAGGUCCUGGAAUAGAAGAACUGCAGAGUGGGGCUGCGUAGAGGAUUCGGCAGUUUCUCGGCCACAAGGACGGAGUUUCCUAAGAAGGGAAAGAAGAGUGCGGGCAGAGAGGAGAGGUCCGAGGGGGAAAAGAGAGGCCUGAGGACGCUCUGGCGGCUCCAGUACCAAGCCUUGGUAUCUUUGGGAUUCUGGGGAGAGUGGAAGGGUUUACAAACUACACAUAAAUCGGUGAACUUGAACCACUGUGUAUCCCGAUUUUGCAUUGAGCCGGGCCCUGCGCACCCGGAAUGCUGAAGUGGCCAAGGGCAGAGAGGGGUGUAUUUGCAACUCGUGGUUUCUUCGGUUAAACAAACCCCAACCCGUAGCCUCAGCAACAACAACAAAAACUGCAAGUGCAGGAAGCAAAAUUAAACAUAAUUCCUUUUAUUUAUCUGUUGCAUUUAUAUCAUUAAAAUAUUUUUGGUUACGUUGUAUAGAAUAGCAUCCACUCUGAUUAUUACCUGCCAUAUCGGCUGUAUUCAACACAGCAAAAUUAACAAUUAAGAAAAUAAAGGCACAUCUUAUAUAU
ensembl:processed_transcript Six3os1 SIX homeobox 3, opposite strand 1